rnacentral:tRNA from 1 species
AAAAAAUUAGUUAAAUUAUAACAUUAAAAUGUCAUUUUAAAAUUAUUAUAAAUAAAUAAUAUUUUUUU